CGUAGUCAAGCUAAAUCAACCAGGCAACUCAGUGCUGAAUUUUAAAAGCGAAGCUGUCAACAUUAUAUAUCAAAAACAGCGUAAUUUAAUUUAAGUUUAUUCCGAGUUCCCGAUUAUUCCAAUCAGAUCCGGAUACCGAUUCGUGUUCACUGAAAAUAAUAAUAAAAAUCAUAUAAUAAGGCACAGUGAAUCACUCCCAGGUCAAGUUGAUAGUGCCUCCCAACACGCUCUUCAGUUUCACUAUCUUCCCACUGGUACAUGGAAAAAAACACUUCACAACCGUUCCAAAUCAAGAAAGUAUGAAGAUAGUGCGUCAUACGAAUGUAUUACUGGGAAGAGCGCCUACAAUUCCAACCGCCUUCAUAAAUCAAACCAGCAAUUACAAUGGAGGAUUACCAUUAAGGUCGAUCGGUGCUGAUAUGAAUGACUGCAUGAAAUAUAAGAAUUGUUCUCUUAGUAUUCCGAGAGCCACUUUUUGGCGAUCAUUAAACUAAGAACGCAAAAUUGGCAAUCCAAUGCAGAAAAGAUCUUCUGAGCAACAAAUCAAUUAUGAUGAUCGGUAGUGCCGGCCAAUUUCCACCUUCUCGAAGUGCACCUUAUUUGGUUACAUUGCGAACCCCAAGUCAGUGCGUCGAAUACUAAUGAUUUUCAGUGAAUGAAGCAGUCUUGAGUUAGAUAAGAACGUGCCAAUGACCUUAGAAUGCACAAUCUAGACACGUUUUUUGCUCUCUUUGGAAUGCAAUCUAUCUGCAACCAGUUGACCAGUUAACGCUGGAAGCAAAAUUAUCACGUAAUAAAUACAAAUAUUUGUAAACUU